rnacentral:lncRNA from 1 species
UGUGGGCCCAAAGUUUUCCUUCUAUUGUACCCAAUAAUUCAAUGUAUACCACUCUGUGUUUAAUAUAUAUUUACUUUUUAAAGUAAUUCCAAAAAUCAAUUAAACCAUUUUUAGCAAUGUUAAUGAUAACAAAGCCUUGCAUGUGAUCCAAUAUCUUAUUGGAUAAAGUGUUGGAUUUUCACUCAUGCAUUUCGGAUUCAAUACUCUCCCAUCCCCUAAAUUAUUACAAAUGUUUCGAACCCUCCCAUUUCUAAAAAUAAUAAAAUUAAAAAAAAUAAUAAAGUCUUAUCCCAAUAAGUGAGGUCAGCUGUAUGAAUUCUAGAACACCAUUGCGCUCAGUUAUGCGUCAAGUCUUCUGUUAACUCCAAUUUCUUCAUGUCUUUUCUUAAGUCUCUUUCCAUGACUUCCUAGGUCUUCCUCUAUUCCUUUUGUCAUAAGCCUAAGUCUCUGUCUUAUAAUAGCAUUUUCUAGGAGG